GUCACAGGUGACGUGAAACCAAGUGCAUGGAUCCACCAAGGUAGGAUCCCAGCUUUCCAGAACAAGUCCUGGGUCCUUCACUGCUUUUCUCAACGCAUGCAGAGCAUCCCCUUCUACGUUUGCAUUUGUAGGUGCUACAAUGAUUGAUAGAAGAACAAGAAGUUGAAACAGGGUACAACUAGCCAUUUGAGAACUUCAAAAGACGGUAAGCUCAGUAGUGAGAGAGAGAGAGAGAGAGA
rnacentral:misc_RNA from 1 species